rnacentral:tRNA from 1 species
AGAAUAUUAAGUUAAGCUAGACUAUAUGUUUUCAAAACAUAAGGUAACAGAUUUUGUUAUAUUUUG